GAUGAAGGCCUUCGGGUUGUAAAGCUCUUUCGACCGGGAAGAUAAUGACGGUACCCGUAGAAGAAGCUGCGGCUAACUACGUGCCAGCAGCCGCGGUAAUACGUAGGGGGCAAGCGUUGUUCGGAAUUACUGGGCGUAAAGGGUGCGUAGGCGGUUCUCUAAGUCUGGUGUGAAAUCUCCCGGCUCAACUGGGAGGGUGCGCCGGAAACUGGAGGGCUUGAGUAUGGGAGAGGUGAGUGGAAUUCCUGGUGUAGCGGUGAAAUGCGUAGAUAUCAGGAGGAACACCUGUGGUGAAGGCGGCUUACUGGACCAUUACUGACGCUGAGGCACGAAAGCGUGGGGAGCAAACAGGAUUAGAUACCCUGGUAGUCCACGCCCUAAACGAUGCAUGCUUGGUGUGGGCGGUUCAUUUUCUUCGUGCGGGAACUAACGCGUUAAAUAUGCCCCCUGGGGAGUAC
rnacentral:rRNA from 1 species